rnacentral:rRNA from 1 species
UACGUAGGGUGCGAGCGUUGCCCGGAUUUAUUGGGCGUAAAGGGCGCGUAGGCGGCCACGCACGUCCGUUGUGAAAUCGCCCGGCUCAACUGGGCGGGGUCAGCGGAUACGGUGUGGCUCGAGCAAGCUAGGGGGCAAUGGAAUUCCCGGUGUAGUGGUGGAAUGCGUAGAUAUCGGGGAGGAACACCAGUGGCGAAGGCGGUUGCCUGGAGCUUUGCUGACGCUGAGGCGCGAAAGCGUGGGGAGCGAUCCGG